rnacentral:rRNA from 1 species
UACGUAGGGCGCAAGCGUUGUCCGGAAUUAUUGGGCGUAAAGAGCUCGUAGGCGGUUUGUCGCGUCUGCUGUGAAAACUCGAGGCUCAACCUCGGGCUUGCAGUGGGUACGGGCAGACUAGAGUGCGGUAGGGGAGACUGGAAUUCCUGGUGUAGCGGUGGAAUGCGCAGAUAUCAGGAGGAACACCGAUGGCGAAGGCAGGUCUCUGGGCCGCAACUGACGCUGAGGUGCGAAAGCGUGGGGAGCAAACAGG